rnacentral:rRNA from 1 species
CACGAACGCUGGCGGCAGGCUUAACACAUGCAAGUCGAGCGCCCCGCAAGGGGAGCGGCAGACGGGUGAGUAACGCGUGGGAAUCCACCCAUCUCUACGGAAUAACGCAUGGAAACGUGUGCUAAUACCGUAUACGUCCUUCGGGAGAAAGAUUUAUCGGAGAUGGAUGAGCCCGCGUUGGAUUAGCUAGUUGGUGGGGUAAAGGCCUACCAAGGCGACGAUCCAUAGCUGGUCUGAGAGGAUGAUCAGCCACACUGGGACUGAGACACGGCCCAGACUCCUACGGGAGGCAGCAGUGGGGAAUAUUGGACAAUGGGCGCAAGCCUGAUCCAGCCAUGCCGCGUGAGUGAUGAAGGCCCUAGGGUUGUAAAGCCCUUUCACCGGUGAAGAUAAUGACGGUAACCGGAGAAGAAGCCCCGGCUAACUUCGUGCCAGCCGCCGCCGUAAUAC